UACGGAGGGUGCAAGCGUUGUCCGGAUUUAUUGGGUUUAAAGGGUGCGUAGGCGGGUUUGUCAGUCAGUGGUGAAAGUCUGCGGCUUAACCGUAGAAUUGCCAUUGAUACUGCAGAUCUUGAGUAUGUUCGAGGUGUUUGGAAUGUGUGGUGUAGCGGUGAAAUGCAUAGAUAUCACACAGAACACCGAUUGCGAAGGCAGAACACUGGGACAUAACUGACGCUGAGGCACGAAAGCGUGGGGAGCGAACAGG
rnacentral:rRNA from 1 species